rnacentral:ncRNA from 1 species
AUAUUCCCUAUGAAUGGAUGAGUAUGAGGUUGAAGCCAUCUCAGAGAGCCGGCGUUUGCUGAGAACCGGUAUGGCCUUGCUUCAGAAGAUGGUCCAGGAGGGUCCUGACUCGAGCGCGUUCUAUUCUUUAAGAGCCGUAAGGAUCAGGCGGUUCGUUCCCGUUACGGAAUCUGUGCUGUGUUUACACAGCUGCAAUGAAGCCGUUAUGCAUUCAUGAUGUCUAUCUAUUCAUAGGCAUAGCGGGAAUUUGGGUGGUACCACGUGAGCUAACUCUCGUCCCAAGC